UAGAGUGAGUUAUUCAUUGUCGCCGGUCGACUGGAGUUUGAAUCUUCAGGAAUAACGGGACACUUAAGAUGUCGAAUUUUUACCAUUAAGCGUCAUGGCAUUUGUCAAAUGUUCAUGUGCGAUUGUUACUAGGUUACUAUUUAUUAUGAUCUCAGUCAGAGUUUGGAGAUUGCUUAAAGAUGACAAUACUGGUUUCUGACAUUCUUCUUUCCAGCUCUCGUUCUCGAAAUGAUCCUAACUUUGAAAAUAAGAACGGGAAAGGAUUAUAAAUGCAACCAGUGAUCCGGGUCAACAGCAUCAAUGUAACAGUAUAACUUUAAACCGUCCCCUCGCCCCGACAUGGGCGCGAACCAGGGACCUUCUGCACACAUCAACAACAGUUGCCCACGAAGCAUCGUUACCCAUCGCUCCACAAAGGCCACGGCUCUUGCAGAGCAAGGGGCAACACUACUUCUAGGUUUCAGAGCAAGUGACGUAACUGAUUGAAAUGCUAGUAGCGCGUACCCGCUAACUAGCUAGCCAUUUCACAUCCGUUACAUUUGGCUGCACAUUCAUCUUGUCUUCCCUGUGCUCCAACUCUAAUUUCUGUUGUUCAAGCUCUAAUUUUUGUUGCACCAACUUUGCCUUUAGUUUUAACUUCCUUAGUUGCACGUCUACGGGAUGUACUCUACUACUACUAGCAUCUCCCAUGUAUGGUUUUCCACAAAUGCUUCCAACUUAAAGUCCAUUACUAUUUUUUAUUUUAUUAGCCUGUGUGUUUAUGUAACUUUCAAAAGGAUUCCACUGUAAUAUUCAUAUGUGUAAACAUACUGAAUUAUAAUUGGAUGCAUUUUACCGCCGUAUCAUACUGUGCUAUGAUUGGUUAAGACCACCCAGAUGGUUAGGUCAUGAGCAGUUGAUCAUGUUUGGAGAUACGUGAACAUGCACGUUAUAGCUAGCUAAUAAAGACCUACUUUAUGAAAUA